rnacentral:misc_RNA from 1 species
GGCAUGCCAAGUGGAGUGAGUUCAUCGAGUCAUUUCCAUAUGUGAUCCAAUACAAGCAAGGAAAGAAAAUGUGGUAGCUGGUGCACUUUUUAGAAGAUGUACACUUCUUUCCAUACUUGAUGCUAAGAUGAUAAACUUUGAAUAUGUUAAGGAUUUAUAUGCUAAAGAUGCUGAUUUUGCUAAAGUUUAUGAUGCAUGUGAACAUAUUGCAUUUGACAAAUUCUAUAGGCAUGAUAUAUUCUUGUUUAGAGAAAAUAAGCAAUGUGUACCGAAUUGCCCCAUGAGAGAAUUGCUUGUGAGGGAAUCACAUGAUGGUGCAUUGAUGAAACACUUUAGUGUAGCCAAGACUUUAGAUGUUUUGAAGGAAUAUUUCUUUUGACCACACAUGAAAAGGGAUGUAAAAAGAAUAUGUUUUAGGUGCAU